UACGUAGGGGCCUAGCGUUGUCCGGAUUUAUUGGGCGUAAAGAGCUCGUAGGCGGUUUGUCGCGUCUGCUGUGAAAACUCGGGGCUUAACCCCGGGCCUGCAGUGGGUACGGGCAGACUAGAGUGCGGUAGGGGAGACUGGAAUUCCUGGUGUAGCGGUGAAAUGCGUAGAUAUCAGGAGGAACACCGGUGGCGAAGGCGGCUUUCUGGACAGAAACUGACGCUGAUGCGCGAAAGCUAGGGGAGCAAACAGG
rnacentral:rRNA from 1 species